rnacentral:miRNA from 4 species
UAGCAGCACAGAAUGGUUUGU